rnacentral:misc_RNA from 1 species
GAUGAAGAACGUAGCGAAAUGCGAUACUUGGUGUGAAUUGCAGAAUCCCGUGAACCAUCGAGUCUUUGAACGCAAGUUGCGCCCGAAGCCAUUAGGCCGAGGGCACGCCUGCCUGGGCGUCACACGUCGUUGCCCCCCCAUCUACUCCUUCGGGAUUGCGGGGGGCGGAUGAUGGCCUCCCGUGCGCCUCGUCGCGCGGUUGGCAUAAAUGCCAAGUCCUCGGCGACGCACGCCACGACAAUCGGUGGUUGCGAAACCUCGGUUGCCCGUCGUGUGCGGUCGUCGCGCAUCGAGGGCUCGAAAAAAUGCUCGGCUCCGGCUGGGCUUUCAACGCGACCCCAGGUCAGGCGGGGUUACCCGCUGAAUUUAAGCAUAUCAAUAAGCGGAGGA